AUUGAACGCUGGCGGCAUGCCUUACACAUGCAAGUCGAACGGCAGCACGGGAGCAAUCCUGGUGGCGAGUGGCGAACGGGUGAGUAAUAUAUCGGAACGUGCCCAGUCGUGGGGAUAACGUAGCGAAAGCUACGCUAAUACCGCAUACGAUCUAUGGAUGAAAGCGGGGGAGUCGCAAGACCUCGCGCGAUUGGAGCGGCCGAUAUCAGAUUAGGUAGUUGGUGAGGUAAAGGCUCACCAAGCCGACGAUCUGUAGCUGGUCUGAGAGGACGACCAGCCACACUGGGACUGAGACACGGCCCAGACUCCUACGGGAGGCAGCAGUGGGGAAUAUUGGACAANAG
rnacentral:rRNA from 1 species